UUCUACGCGACGAAACCCUAACUCUAUAGAUAUAAAGCAGUCGGGCUUGCAAUUCUGCGCGAGUGUUCGCUCCAAUCGUUGCUACGGAGCCUUCUCUAUUUCAGCGUCACUCUACCUCUAGAGGGAGCGCCGAUUGGCUGGCUGCGGCCUCUUGCACUGAUGCCGGUCGAAUUUCUGCUCGCAUACUGUAACUCCUAGGUGCUUGGCGAGCCCAAGAAGAAGAUGCUACUGUACUCGCCCUUGUUUCCCGUAGCAUGUACCGUCGUCGACAUGGUCACUAUGGACGCUAGCACAUUUGCUAUCCCGCCCUAGGUCUCGUCAAUUGCAAAAUGUUCUUGCUCGUUCAAUAUUGAAAGGUAUGGCUUGUGGAAUGUCGCGAUAGGCGAAGUCGCAAGCAAGAAAAAAAGCGCUGAACCAGUAAACCUAGGGCUUAAAUGAAUAUAAUUGUUUUUUUUUUGCCCCCCUCAUGUUUAGCAAAAGGUUUGCAACUAAUAGCUUAGUGGGACUUUUUUGAAAUCUUGUUUUAGGAGGUUCCAUUACUUGAACUUUAUUUUUAUAAACUUUGAGGAGAGUUUGCAAUUGUCACUUACUGUUCUCAGCUUUCGGAACAAUAUUUUCUAGUUAGAAUAUGUUGUCAUAUUAUAUUGGUUUUUUU